AUUGUAUGAACUGAAGGGAUACAAUUGCCCUCACAUCUUGCUCUUUCCUUGUUAGAGAGGACAGUCUUCCAAUUCAAGCUAGGUCUACCCUUAUUCCAAACAAGAGCGCUGUGCCCUUGUACCCUCUGCACUUGCAAGUGAGGAUUCAAAUUCUGAAGCAGUGUUGGCAGCCCAGUCACCUGGCAUCACCCCUGCGGUCCAGUGCAUCACUAUUCCCAGAGAGGACAGUCUUCAAAUUCAAGCUAUGUCUCCCUUAUUCCACACAAGAGCGCUGUGCCCUUGUACCCUCUGCACUUGCAAGUGAGGAUUCAAAUUCUGAGGCAGUG
ensembl:lncRNA